rnacentral:lncRNA from 1 species
CUCUGUGUGAGCCACCAAGUGGGAAAAGAGUAAGAAGUGAUGGCAUUUGUGCCACAAAAGGGCUGCAAGCCACGAGCAGAUGUGCUUUGGCAGACUCAGCCUUUACUGUUCAGGGUGGAAAUAAAAAGGUAUUAUCCCCGAAGAACCUCCCAGACUAGUCCAGACUGGCUCAGACAGAGCAAGGGGAGAGCAGGCUCUUCGGAAAGAGCUCCAGGC